AUUAACUGUAGUGUGGAAGAAUGCAUACUCAGGUAGUAAAGGAAUAAAGCAAGGAAAGUUUAUCACAGAGCCAGAGUAAUGGUUAGCUUUGGGAAACAAACAAAAUUGGGAUUAAAAAGGAGAACACAGGGGGCUUCUAGGGUUGUAUUUGGGCCUGGGUUAUAGUUACGUGUAUGCCAAUUCACUACACUUCCUGCUGUGAACAUUUUAUCUCCCAAUAAAACUGUUUUAGAAUGAAAAAAUAAAUAACAAAAAGG